GUACUUAACAGAGGCAAUAACAUGAUCAUGAAGGUUAUCUAUUAUAUUCCAGGUGUGCUGACCCUGAGGUUGCCUCAAAUGCUGGAAACUCAACUGCAUAGUCUGUGGUACUGGGAGACGGCAUUCAUGUUCACCCCUG
ensembl:snRNA U1 U1 spliceosomal RNA